GUGAUUGGCGUCAGGGAGAGAAAAAAUAGCCACACGUCCCCCUCUUUGACUUGUAGUUGCAGGUUGCAAUCGCAGCUGUUUCCGAGACUCUUGCCUGGACACAAAGAAAGGUAGCUGCAUCUGGUCUCGCCGCUUCGCUGCUGUUCGUCUGUGCCCGAGAGAGACCGACCGGGCGCUACCUACUCCUCGUCUCCGAUGCCUCUCCUCCUGCUUCAAGACCUUCCAUUUGUCGGCGUCGCCACACCACUGAACCGUGAAGUCCCACCGGCGUGAUGUCCAUCGCGUGCUGCUUGCCGGUGGUGGAGUGCGUGUACUGCCUGGCCUGCACGCGGUGGGUGUGGCAGCGCUGCCUCCACACCACCGGCUACGACAGCGAGACCUGGGGCCUCGCCUCCUCCGGCGAGUUCGAGCCGGUGCCGCGGCUAUGCCGGUUCAUCCUGGCGGUCUACGAGGACGACCUGGAGACCCCGCAGUGGGCGCCCCCGGGCGGCUACGGCAUCGAGCCCCGGUGGGUGGUGCGGCGGAGGACGCCCGAGCACGCGCAGGGGCGCGCCCCGACGUACCUGCUGUACGUCGAUCACCGGCACGCGGACGUCGUGCUCGCCGUCCGCGGCAUGGACAUGGCCAAGGAGAGCGACUACGCCGUGCUGCUGGACAACAGGAUCGGCCAGGCGGGCUUCGACGGCGGCUACGUGCACAACGGCCUGCUCAAGGCCGCCGAGUGGGUGCUCGACGCCGAGUGCGACGCGCUGAGGGACCUCCUGGCCACGAACCCCGGCUACACGCUCACGUUCGCCGGGCAUUCCCUCGGCUCCGGCGUCGCGGCCAUGCUGGCUCUGCUGGCGGUGCGCGACAGGGAGAGGCUGGGCGGCGUGGAGCGGAGGAGGAUACGGUGCUUCGCCAUGGCGCCUCCCAGGUGCAUGUCGCUCAAUCUGGCAGUCCGUUAUGCCGACGUCAUUAACUCGGUUAUUCUUCAGGAUGAUUUUCUGCCUCGCACGGACAUUCCUCUGGAAGACAUUAUCAAGUCACUUUUCUGCUUGCCAUGCCUUCUCUGUGGAAAUUGCCUUAUAGCUACAUGCAUACCUGAAAGUGUGAUGCUAAGAGAUCCAAGGCGCCUCUACGCACCAGGCCGUCUUUACCACAUUGUUGAGAGGAAACCUUUCAGAUGUGGAAGAUAUCCGCCUGCCGUUAGAACAGCAGUUCCAGUUGACGGCAGAUUUGAGCACAUAGUUCUUUCUUGCAACGCGAUUUCUGACCAUGCCAUUAUCUGGAUAGAAAGGGAAGCCCAAAGAGCAGUGAAUUUGAUGCUGGAGCAUGAGAGGACCAUGAAAGCGCCUGAGAAUCAAAGGAUGGAUGGUGAAACCGCGGCAACAAGGGAUCACAAUGAGGAGCAGCAGGCGGCCCUGAGGCGUGCUGUCGCGCUAGGGAUCGCAGAUGUUAAGCUGCCGUCAACAUACGGAACAUUCGACGAAAAUGCAAACCCCGAUGAGAGCGAGGCAUCGCCAGUGCUGCUUGACAGUGGCAGGCGCAGAACGGUUUGGAAUGAGUGGAUCGCAAGGAUAUUUGAGAAGGAUGAAUCCGGGCAAAUGGUUCCACGGAGAUAGAUGAUGGUGCAUGUCGGUAGACGGAAUUAUGCGUCAGAAGUACUAGAAAAAUUCAGGCAUACGGUUCUUGGUAUGCAGUGCAUGCUGUCACCUGUUAGAGCAUGUUUUGGAAGCCUUGAAAUGGUGUUGAAAGAAAUAGCAAUCGUUGGUGUAGGACAAAGUAUACAUAGGUGAGAUGUAUUGAUGAGUGACUACAGAACUGUACAUUGGAUCUAGAGAAAGCAGGAUUUUUUUAGGAGAAAAGUUUUUUUUUCCCGAGUAACCGGCAGGAGCACUACCUUUUUUUUCUUCGGAAACACUAACGCCCACACGUGUGGGCGUUAGCCAACUCGCCCACACGCCUCGAUCGCCGUCCAGUGCCUUUUGCACAAAUCUUGGCACGAAAAUGUUGAUUUUGUUUGCCACGUAGGACAAUUCGUGUGUGUGGCGUAUGAGGGAGUUCGCCCACACGCCGGUUUUCUCUCCGCGGUCAACGGUUGCCAGUCGGGGCGUGCGGUGGAACUGCCAUCGCGCCCGCACGCCACGCCCGACUGCGGUUGCCGUCUACCACGUCUCGCCACUUCGCCCCCCUCCCCUCGCGGUUCCAUUACUCCCCUCCACUUCAUUACUCCCCCAACCCACCGUCCAUACCAGUUCAGUCGAUUGGAGGAGAAGCCGAGAGGAGUAGGCGGCGGCGGAGGCGGAAGAGUCGACGGCAUUCGCGACCGUUGGUGGGGCUCGCCGGACCGGAGCGUCGUCGCCGGAGAGCCGCAGAUUGAAGCACAAUGGCUCGCGGCGAACAUCAAGACGAUGAUGGUGACUUCAUGGAGUUACCGCAACAGAAUCGCGCAACUGGUCGUACAAAAGAUGGCGAUGAGAAGAAGAAACGUUAUCGCAAUAGGGUUUCACAAGAACGCCUGACUAUAUUGACCGAGGGAUUUACUGACGAGCAGAAGGGAGCUGCUAGUGAGAUGGGGAUGCAUGCUCUGAUGGAUGUUCGGUGCAAGAACCUAGUGAACCCUGUAUGCGACUGGCUCGGUGAGAUUUAUGAUCCUGCCUCCAGGGAAUUUGUGAUUCCGGGACGUGGAAGGCUGCCUUUGGACAAGGAAUCCGUGUUCUGCACUUUGGGUGUGCCCCAGGGAGAAAUCAAAGUCCCGUACGAGGUGAAGAAUCCUUGUUCGCCCGUUUGUUUCCUGGGAUGGCAUCCAUGCCGAAUACGACUGUGCUGGCAACUUCGCUGGAGGGCAUGAAAACCCAUGGCGAGGUUUUUAAGAUGAAGCUCCUCAUGUACCUGAUCUCAGCUGUUUUUGCGCCUACCAGAUCUCUUCGCCCAAGCAACAAGUGCUUCCCUAUCCUGGCAAAGCUGAAAGACGUGAAGAACAUAAAUUGGUGUAAAUUCAUCGCGGACUUCCUGCAUGAUGCAUUCUCAGACAAGAUGUACCAGAAGGGCUGUCGCUUGCACUUAAUGCUCAUGUACGUUGAUCGUCUUGAUCUGUCCACCGUCGACUUUACUAGGAUAGGAGGCCCGCUGCCUCCACAUAAGUUUGUUGUCUCUGCGUGGACGUACGAUGCUGUCAAGGCUAUGCUUGCCGCAGACAGGGUAACUGAUACGAAAUAUGGGAAACUGUAGCUGAUGGCCAAGCAUGCUAUAGACUACAACGUGUUUGGUGUGCCUCAAAACUUUGGCAAGUGGAUGGACGUGCACUCAGCUCCGUCUUGUCCUGCUGAGGCGAGGGCACCUGUUGAGCAUCUAGUUGGGUAGUUUGCUUCCGGCUUGACCAGCUUGCUCGGGAAGUUGGUUGAGGGUUGGACGAUACUUAAUGGCUCUGACAGUGACGCGGUUGCGAGGCAGUUCACACCAUUUGUUGCAGAACAGACACAUCGACCAACUGGUUGUCAUGGCCGGUAUGACUACAACAGCCCCCAGGAGCUUCCUGACACACAAGAUGAACUAGAUGGAGAUGUUGGUCUCGACAAGGACGAUGAUGAUGACAUGGAGAAUGUGUAACAUGAAACUCGAUGAACAUGUUGAAGUACGUGCAGGUGGUAAGAAGGACAAGGCUGCACCAGAUGUCCCCCCACCGGAGAAAGUCAUUGAACAGACAGUUGCGAGAGACAAGGGGGUGUCGCCCUCAAAGAGGGGCAGGGCUCCAGAGGAUGUUGGGCAGGGCUCUGUUGGCAAGAGGUCUAGGACCGAUCCCUUAGUUGCUAGGAGGAGUGAGGCGACAGCUGGUGGACGAGUAGUUAUGAAGAAACAAGCACCAACGCCAACCCGUGUUUCUGCCCGAUUGAACAAGGGUGCCCCCAUUGCUGGUGACACCCCUUCCACUAGGUUGUCUCCUCGUACGUCGACGUCCAACACCGGGGAUCCUGUCGUAUUGGUAGACUUGAGGAAGACAGUCAAGAAGGUGAAGAAGACUACUACACGCGUGAGCAAGUAGAACACUAGAGACCCUCUCGAACACAUUCAUUCAAAGCUGUCGACAGGUGGCAACUCAGAUGUUCAUGAGGCGCCAGUCGACAAAACUGCUGCUGCACCAUCCACUGUUCCCACUAGCUCUGAUGCAAGCGGCCGACCAUCUUCGCCAGUUGCAGAUGUGCAAGCUACAACAACAGGCAUCCGUACAUCUGGGAGUGAUGAGUCAGUAUCUGCCAGGACUGCUGAGAUAUUGCCCACUCUGCUGGCAAUGAAGGAUGCUGCUGUGACCCAUGCCACCCGAUCAGCAAGUGUUGAAGUGCACGCUCCCGAUAUCAACCUAAGCAAGGAAGAUUCCCGCUCAUCUGAUACAGAUUCCAAGCGUGUGGCUGGUGGCACUUCUGCGUCCAUGGAAGAAGGGGUUGCGGCGACAAUUCAGAAUGAGAUGCCAUCCACACAUGAGAAUCUUGGCACAACAGCUCCAGCUUCUGGUGGUCCAGAGGUUGCUACGGCGACCAUUAGGCGAGUUGGUCUUCCACCUAGGCGGCGUAGCCCCCGCAAGCAAUCUGCAGACAUACCCAAUGCACCAGCUGUAGCUAGGAACAGCAGAGAUGACGCUGGUUAUGUGCUUGCGUCCACACUGUUCCCACCACCUGCCAAAAGCAAUGUUAUGGAGAAAACAACAGUCCGGAGUGCAACUGACGCGGGUGUCAAGCCGGGCACGACUGACGGAGGUGAACGUCCGGAGUAGACUGUGUCUUUACCCGCCAUGGAGAACCCCAGCUUAAAUCUGCACACUUCUAAGCUCCCAGUCAACAUUGGUGUCCCAUAUAGCCCAAACAAGAAGAUUGGCAAGAAAGUUGCGGUUGAUACCGCUGGCAGCACGCCCCGCCCUACUAAUAAGCCUGAUGAUACUGCAGCAGAUGAGGCAGAAAUGUUUGUUGAUCUGUCAUCCAUGGAUUCUGUGGAGCAACUUCCUCGCGAUCCGGCUGGUAGGGAGGAGAGGCACCCAAUGGCCUUCACCCCACCGAGCUGUAGCCUUGGCAUCGAUCGCAGUCAAGAUGAACCAGUGGUGCAAGAUCCUAUGUCAGUUGCCUUUGCUUUCCCGGCAGGCAUGGCCCCAAUGAUGGCGCAACCAAUGGCUGAUGGCAGGAAGCUAGGCUGUGAAGUUUGUAGAGCCGAUAGUGCAAGCCACCCCUGAGGAGAUUACACCGUCACUUGAUGAAGCUUACCGCAGGAUUGAGGAGGCAGCAUUGCAGAGGAGGUCCUUACGAGGUCAGGGGCAAUCAAGUUCUAACGUGCCUGCUGAGUCGGUAUCUGAGGAUACCGUUAGAAGUUCCACCCCUGGUUCUGUGAGGCAGCAUAGGGUAGUUCACGCACCGCCCGCGGAUGAUUAUGAGCCCGAAGUCAAGGCCACAAAGGAGCAGAACCAGAUGUACGAUAUUGUCAACCGUUUUGGAAAUGCGAGGUCCAACAGCAAGCACAUGAAGGAGCUGAAAGCAACCAAGAUUAUAUGAUGCGACGUACGUUGACCCUGGGUGAUCUUGCCGAGUCUGUGAGGCCACUUGGUAAAAUGUCGAAGAAUGUAGUUGCGUGUGGGAUUGACUUCAUCAACAGGCAUAUGGAUAUUUGUCCCGACAAAACAAUCAUGCAGUACAGUGUGACCUGCAAAAUAUGGGAUGGUGACUUCCACCAUAAAAUCCCGAGGAAGCAUUUUGCUGCGCAUGGUGAAUUCAAGCUCACAAUGAAGAAAUGUGUACUGUUCCCCAUGUUCCAGGAGCUUGCACCACACGACCCACAUGACAAGUGUGGUCACCACUAUGCGAUUUGCCUUGCCCUGAAGAACCAACGAUUUGAGGUGCUAGAUUCAAUGCGUUGAGAAGCUGAUGCAGACCUUACUACGCAUGGUGAACUCUUCAUCAACAACCUCAAAGAGACAUGGAACCGUCACUACGAAAACUCAAGGGUCUAGAUCGGUCAUUUCCCAAUCGAGUACGUCGCGACUACGAAGCAAGGAAACCGGCAUGACUGUGGCUUUCACAUGUUGGAAUACCUUGUAAAGUGGGAAGGUCGACAGGUCCCUAUCGUCACAGCUGCAAUGGUCGUCGAGCUCCGCAAAAUAUACACAUGGAACCGGUUGAUGAAUGAAGAUUUCAACACGCGCGCCAACGCAUGAGAGUUCAUAGAGGAAGCUGUCAAGAAAGCCAACAAGAAGUACAAGUGAUCACGUGGUGCUCCAUACCACACGCCUACCUUACAUUCUGUGGCUGAGGAAUGUAAGGUAUCAACUUGUUCUUUUAAAACUAUGUCUGUGUACUAUGUGAAGGAAAUAUGCCCUAGAGGCAAUAAUAAAGUUAUUAUUUAUUUCCUCAUAUCAUGAUAAAUGUUUAUUAUUCAUGCUAGAAUUGUAUUAACCGGAAACAUAAUACAUGUGUGAAUACAUAGACAAACAUAGUGUCACUAGUAUGCCUCUACUUGACUAGCUCGUUGAUCAAAGAUGGUUGAGUUUCCUAGCCAUAGACAUGAGUUGUCAUUUGAUUAACGGGAUCACAUCAUU
rnacentral:rRNA from 1 species